rnacentral:RNase_P_RNA from 1 species
AUACGACAUUGUUCUAUCGCUGCGAAUCAUUGAUUCGGAGAGGAAAGUCCGGGCAACAUAGAGCAUCAUACUACCUAACGGGUAGGCAGGUUGAGAAGACCUGACAGAAAGUGCCACAGAAAAUAACCGCCUUGCAAAAGGUAAGGGUGAAAACGUGAGGUAAGAGCUCACGAUUCGUCAUAGUGAUAUGUCGAAUGGGUAAACCUUAUGAGUUGAAAGACCAAGUAUAUCAGAUAAGGGGCUGCUCGUCCCGCAAUAUCUGAGGGGUAGGUCGUUAGAGACUUGUCGUGAGGCAAGUAGUAGAUUAAUGAUAGAACGAUUUGUAAAGCAAAUCUGACAGAACCCGGCUUAU